UCAACUUCCCUUAUUUCUCUCCACCACCACCUCCACCACCACACAAUCCAGUUUCUCCACCGCCACCCCCCCACCAUCCAGUUUCUCCAUCACCACCACCCCACCAUCCAAUCACUCCACCGCCACCUCAUGUACAUCCUCCACCACCUCCCCAUGUGCGUCCACCACCACCAGCACCACUUCCUCCAGCACCAUCACCUAGUAACCAUACAGUUAUAAUAAUUGUAUUCGUCUCAUGCGGCGGCGUGUUCUUCCUAGCAUUCCUGGCCGCCGCUCUCUUUUGCUUCCUCAAGAAGAAGAAGAAGAAGACGG
rnacentral:lncRNA from 1 species